GAGUUGGGCAUGCGGUGUGCACGUAGCCCUUCCCCACGCAGUUAGUCGCGUGCCAGGUGAAGGCGGGCGUGCCUCUGCUGCCCAUAAAAUGACUUCAACAUUUAUCUGAGU
rnacentral:snoRNA from 1 species